GAACAGCGAGAGGCAGCGGAGGUGGAGAGGGAGGUUGGCAGUCGGCAAGCUCUCCCAUUGCCAGGACACUGAAGAAUGGGAGACCCGCCAUACAGUCCUGUCCUCAAGGAGCCUGUGGCUCAGGGAGAGGAGAGAAGGUCAGAGCUGCGCAGAGCUGGCGGUGCUUCCCCAUGGGAUGCAAUGCUGGUAGCUUUAAACCAGCUACGGUAGAAGUAUUAACACCACAGAAGUCAAGAGAGGCCUUUUCUCUGCAGAGAGCUGAUUGUUAAACAUUGACCAGCACACGUCUGCUGACACACCUGCGGCUUCUCCUGCUGUGGGUGGUCCUGAGGGCAGUGUUAGCUGGAGCUGCCUGAGGAAGCUUCAGAGGCAGAUGGAGUCUCGCUCUGUUGUCCAGGCUGGAGUGCAGUGGGGCGAUCUCGGCUCACUGCAACCUCUGCCUCCUGGGUUCAAGUGAUUCUCCUGCCUCAGCCUCCCAAGUAGCGGGGACUACAGCACUGCAAUGAAUGCUGCUGCACACGCUGUUGAGCUCGUGGACACUUUCCUGCUGGGUGAGGACCCGAACGUGAAAUUGCUGGGUCAUGGAUUCAAGUGCUACACAUAUUUUUGACCACAUUACUGUGACUCAGGAAGCCCAGGAACAGAAUUCUAGGCACCAGAACCAUACAUGUUACAGCCUCUGAGCUUUAUGGCCUCUGAGCCAUUUGUCCAGCCACAUCAUUUGCAGAUGAGAUCCUGAGACUCAGGCUGGAAAAGUGACCGGGGAAAAGUCACACAAGUCAGAGGCAGAGCUGGAGUUUCCUCAUUUCCAGGCCCGUAUAGAUCAAGACGGACGUUGGUCAAACACCUCCUAGUACUCACAUGAAGAAGCUCUCCUUUCUGCUGUAGGAAUGAUCACACACCAUUCCAAUCUGGAUACCAAAUGUCAUUGUUUAUUAAAUGUGUGCAGUGUGCCAGGCA
ensembl:lncRNA novel transcript